GGUCAAAUCAUCAUGCCUCUUACAUCUAGGGCUACAGGCGUGCUACAAUGGCUGGUACAACGAGUCGCUACACAGCAAUGUGAUGCAAAUCUCUUAAAGCCAGUCUCAGUUCGGAUUGGAGUCUGCAACUCGACUCCAUGAAGUUGGAAUCGCUAGUAAUCCCGAAUCAGAAUGUCGGGGUGAAUACGUUCUCGGGUGUU
rnacentral:rRNA from 1 species